ensembl:snRNA U2 U2 spliceosomal RNA
AUCACUUCUCAGCAUUUUGGCUAAUAUUGAGUGUAGUAUCUGUUCUUAUCAGUGUAAUAUGUGAUACGUCCUCAAGCAGAGGACUUUAUAUUAAACGGAUUUUUGUGUGUGGGAGUCAGACCUGGAGCUUGCUCCAUCCACUUUGUGCAUUGUCCCAGUAUUGCAGUGCCUCCAGGCUCUGUGCACAAUUC